UACGUAGGGAGCAAGCGUUGUCCGGAUUCAUUGGGCGUAAAGAGCUCGUAGGCGGCUAAGUAAGUCAGAUGUGAAAACUCCAGGCUCAACCUGGAGACGCCAUUUGAUACUGCUUUGGCUUGAGUUCGGUAGGGGACCAUGGAAUUCCUGGUGUAGCGGUGAAAUGCGCAGAUAUCAGGAGGAACACCGAUGGCGAAGGCAGUGGUCUGGGCCGAAACUGACGCUGAACUGCGAAAGCUAGGGGAGCGAACGGG
rnacentral:rRNA from 1 species